ACAGAGGUCUCAAGCGUUGUUCGGAAUCACUGGGCGUAAAGGGUGCGUAGGUGGCGGGGUAAGUCAGAUGUGAAAGCCCGGGGCUCAACCUCGGGAUUGCGUCCGAUACUACCUCGCUAGAGUACUGAAGAGGUGACUAGAAUUCUCGGUGUAGCAGUGAAAUGCGUAGAUAUCGAGAGGAACACCAAAGGCGAAGGCAGGUCACUGGGCAGUUACUGACACUGAGGCACGAAGGCUAGGGGAGCAAACGGGA
rnacentral:rRNA from 1 species